AGCCUUCCCUCCGUUCGAGGUUCUUUGUGGGCAAACCCACAAAGCUAAGAGGGAACAGGGUCCCCAUGCCCUGGCUGCCCCCGCAACUGUGAACGGUCUUAAAUCCUUCGACACACCACUGCCAUUGGCGGGAAGGUGAAGGAUGGCGCGAUGCGCAGGCCGUGAGCCAGGAGACCUGCCUCGUCACGCUUUCGACA
rnacentral:ncRNA from 2 species